UCACGAAACCUGAGGUUUCUGAUCUCGUCCUCCUCCUCCUUCGAUGCUAACGAUUAGCAGCGGCGAAGCAUCCCUCAUCGCGCAAUCAAUGGACUCUGCCGAGUCACACACUUGCCUCGGACGGUUUCCCCUCAUCGGCAGCAAAGAAUAUCCGCGGUCUAGUAAGGAUAUUUCAGCUUCUGCUCUACCCUACAAGAGGACUUCUCCGAGCUGGCUCAAGAUUUCUUCUCAGGAUGUAAGAACAUUUUCGGCUGCGUUUGUUUGUUUUUGUGGGAUAAUGGGUAGUUUGUAGCUGUCACCUCCCUCUCAGGAUCUGGUGUAAGAUGUGGGAAGCUCAACUCUGAUGUUGUUAUGAUAUUUGGUUUGGUAGUUUGUACCCAAUUUGGUCGGACGAAAGAGGGCCUAUAACCAUGCAUGACAUCCUAUCUGAAACCUAGUAAUGUAGUCACUCUCAUAUAGUAGAAUGGUGCCUGUAAUUGUUUACUCGACUAUCAGUGGGAGGAAACCGUGGAUGAUGUUUGACUUGCU